AAUCCCACGGCUCAACCGUGGAAUUGCAGGGCAUACUGCGUUUCUUGAGGUCGGUAGAGGUCGCCGGGAACUCUAGGUGUAGCGGUGAAAUGCGUAGAUAUCUAGAGGAACGCCGAAGGUGAAGACAGGCGACUGGGCCGAUUCUGACGCUCAGGCACGAAAGCGUGGGGAGCAAACAGGAUUAGAUACCCUGGUAGUCCACGCCGUAAACGUUGUGCACUAGAUCCUGGAGGUACUGACACCGUCGGGGUCGAAGAUAACUUGCUAAGUGCACCGCCUGGGGAGUACGGUCGCAAGGCUAAAACUCAAAGGAAUUGACGGGGGCUCACACAAGCGGUGGAGCAUGUGGCUUAAUUCGAGGCAACGCGAAGAACCUUACCUGGGUUUGACAUGCUUGGAUUAGCCUGUCGAAAGACAGGUGACGCUAAUUCUAGUGGAACUUGCACAGGUGCUGCAUGGCUGUCGUCAGCUCGUGCUGUGAAGUGUCGGGUUAAGUCCCUUAACGAGCGAAACCCCUGCCGCUAGUUGCCAUCAGGUCAAGCUGAGCACUCUAGCGGGACUGCCGGUGUCAAACCGGAGGAAGGUGGGGAUGACGUCAAGUCCUCAUGGCCUUUAUGCCCAGGGAUGCACACGUGCUACAAUGGUAGGUACAACGCGACGCGAUGCCGCGAGNCGGAGCAAAUCGCAAAAAACCUGCCCCAGUUCGGAUCGCAGUCUGCAACUCGACUGCGUGAAGUUGAAUCGCUAGUAAUCGCGUAUCAGCUAUGACGCG
rnacentral:rRNA from 1 species